UGGACAAGACGACCUCCUAUGAGGAGAGGAGGGUUCCCUGCAGACAAAGGCAGAGGAACAGGGGGCAGUCACAAAGGAGGCGUGAGAUGCUACUGCUGUGGGAAGACUGGUCACGUAAGAAGCCAUUGCUUUGAUUGGCUACGAGGGUCACGAGGAGUGCCUAGACCAAAGGGGUCCGCUACUCAAUGUGGAGGCCCCUCAGCUGGUUACUAGAGAGGACCAGACACCUGCAGGAUUCAUGAACUUUGUUGAUGGGCUCCAUCAAAAGUCACAGAUUCAGAGGCCUCAGGCUUUUUGGCUUUUGAUGGAGCCCAUCAACAAAGUUCAUGAAUCCUGCAGAUGUCUGGUCCUCUCUAGUACCCAGUUGAGUGGACUCCACAUUGAUCAGCGGACCCCUUUGGUCUCGGCACUCCUCGUGAGCCUCGUAGCCAAUCAAAGCAAUGGCUUCUUACGUGACCAGUCUUCCCACAGCAGUAGCAUCUCGCGCCUCCUCUGUGGCUGCCUCCUGUUCCUCUGCCUUUGCAUGCUGGGAACCCUCCUCUCCUCAUAGGAGGUCGUCUUGUCCACCCUCCUGGUAGAAUGUACAUCACCUGAGGUGUGGCCAUGCCUGGUGGUGUAGGUGGGGUCUGAGGCACGCUGGCUGGUUGAGCAGAGACCAUCCUCGUCUCUCUUUUCUCCCCCUCUUCCCGCUGCUGCUGGUGUGUUGGUUCUUUCACUGCCUCCUUUGCCUGCUUCAGACGCAGCUCAACAGCAUGAAUCACAUGCUCAGUUAUUUGUUGUAGUGACAAGUUGCAAAGUCCCACAGUGUCAGUCAGAUCAUUCUGUUCCGGUUUUGAAGGCCAGGGCAGAUUUUGACACUUUGCCCUUUUGAUCAGCAGAGGAAGUCCAUCAGAAACCUCAUUUACCCGUUCGUCACCCACACACACUGAUUCCUCAUCUGACUCAGCCCACAGUGAUCUAACUGCUCUGUCACGCAGAUCACUUUCACUGCAGGAAUUUCCAAUUGAAAUUUUCUCUGUGUUUAAAUAAAUGUCAGGCAGUUCUAACA
rnacentral:lncRNA from 1 species